CAGGUCAACGGAGCCGUGCAUCC
rnacentral:miRNA from 1 species